CGCAAGCCUGACGGAGCAACGCCGCGUGUGGGAAGAAGGCUCUUGGGCUGUCAACCACUUUUCUCAGGGAAGAAGCACUGACGGUACCUGAGGAAUCAGCCUCGGCUAACUCCGUGCCAGCAGCCGCGGUAAUACGGAGGAGGCCAGCGUUAUCCGGAGUUAUUGGGCGUAAAGCGUUCGCAGGGGGCACAUCAAGUCUGCUGUUAAAGGCUGGAGCUUAACUCCGGUAGAGCAGUGGAAACUGGUGCGCUAGAGGGCGACAGGGGUAGAGGGAAUUCCCGGUGUAGCGGUGAAAUGCGUAGAUAUCGGGAAGAACACCAGUGGCGAAAGCGCUCUACUGGGCCGCGACUGACGCUGAGGGACGAAAGCUAAGGGAGCG
rnacentral:rRNA from 1 species